UUCCAGGAAGAGACCCAGGUUUGAAGGUGGAGGAAGGAUUGGACACAUUGCUGGGAAAAAAAUGUCGACUUAUUUAUAGGAAUUGCUUGAAGCCAGAGUCAUGGUGGAUGUAGGAAAGUGGCCAAUCUUCACUCUGCUCUCCCCUCAAGAAAUUGCAUCUAUUCGGAAAGCAUGUGUCUUUGGUACCUCGGCCAAUGAAGCACUGUACGUUACUGACAAUGAUGAGGUCUUUGUAUUUGGACUGAACUAUAGUAACUGUCUAGGAACUGGAGAUAACCAGAGUACGCUUGUACCCAAAAAGCUAGAAGCCUUAUGCGGAAAGAAGAUUAAAAGCCUUAGCUACGGGAGUGGACCACAUGUUCUUCUCAGCACUGAAG